rnacentral:rRNA from 1 species
UACGGGGGGGGCAAGCGUUGUUCGGAAUUACUGGGCGUAAAGGGCUCGUAGGUGGCCAACUAAGUCAUACGUGAAAUCCCUCGGCCUAACCGGGGAACUGCGUCUGAUACUGGAUGGCUUGAGGUUGGGAGAGGGAUGCGGAAUUCCAGGUGUAGCGGUGAAAUGCGUAGAUAUCUGGAGGAACACCGGUGGCGAAGGCGGCAUCCUGGACCAAUUCUGACACUGAGGAGCGAAAGCCAGGGGAGCAAACGGG